UGGGGAAUAUUGCACAAUGGGGGAAACCCUGAUGCAGCGACGCCGCGUGAGCGAAGAAGGUUUUCGAAUCGUAAAGCUCUGUCCUAUGGGAAGAUAAUGACGGUACCAUAGGAGGAAGCCCCGGCUAACUACGUGCCAGCAGCCGCGGUAAUACGUAGGGGGCAAGCGUUGUCCGGAAUCACUGGGCGUAAAGGGUUCGCAGGCGGAAAUGCAAGUCAGUUGUGAAAGGCAGAGGCUCAACCUCUGUAAGCAAUUGAAAUUGUAUUUCUUGAGAUGUGGAGAGGCAAGUGGAAUUCCUAGUGUAGCGGUGAAAUGCGUAGAUAUUAGGAAGAAUACCGGUGGCGAAGGCGACUUGCUGGACACAAACUGACGCUGAGGAACGAAAGCGUGGGUAGCAAACAGG
rnacentral:rRNA from 1 species